GAUGAACGCUAGCGGCAGGCUUAAUACAUGCAAGUCGAGGGACAGCACAGGUAGCAAUACUGGGUGGUAACCGGCAAACGGGUGCGGAACACGUACACAACCUUCCUUUAAGUGGGGGAUAGCCCAGGGAAAUUUGGAUUAAUACCCCGUAAUAUAGUUGAAUGGCAUCAUUUGAUUAUUAUAGCUACGGCGCUUAAUGAUGGGUGUGCGGCUGAUUAGAUAGUUGGCGGGGUAACGGCCCACCAAGUCUACGAUCAGUAGCUGAUGUGAGAGCAUGAUCAGCCACACCGGCACUGAGACACGGGCCCGACUCCUACGGGAGGCAGCAGUAAGGAAUAUUGGUCAAUGGACGCAAGUCUGAACCAGCCAUGCCGCGUGAAGGAUUAAGGUCCUCUGGAUUGUAAACUUCUUUUAUUUGGGACGAAAAAGGGCCUUUCUAGGUCAACUGACGGUACCAGAUGAAUAAGCACCGGCUAACUCCGUGCCAGCCGCCGCCGUAAGAC
rnacentral:rRNA from 1 species